GUAGGUGGCAAGCGUUGUCCGGAAUUAUUGGGCGUAAAGCGCGCGCAGGCGGUUCUUUAAGUCUGAUGUGAAAGCCCACGGCUCAACCGUGGAGGGUCAUUGGAAACUGGAGAACUUGAGUACAGAAGAGGAAAGCGGAAUUCCACGUGUAGCGGUGAAAUGCGUAGAGAUGCGGAGGAACACCAGUGGCGAAGGCGGCUUUCUGGUCUGUAACUGACGCUGAGGCGCGAAAGCGUGGGGAGCAAACAGGAUUAGAUACCCUGGUAGUCCACGCCGUAAACGAUGAGUGCUAAGUGUUAGGGGGUUUCCGCCCCCCUUAGUGCUGCAGCUAACGCAUUAAGCACUCCGCCUGGGAGUACGGCCGCAAGGCUG
rnacentral:rRNA from 1 species